CCGGGAGGUGGAGCACCCAGCCGCUAGAUAGCGAGACAAGGUUUCAACUCCCAGAUUCCUCCGUCGAACAGGCUUCCUCCCCACUUCCCUGAAAGUAAACUUGUGCUGAAUUCACAUGAGGCAGAAGAGUGAACUCAAAGAGUUCAGCCUCUGAAGUCCUGUGAUUGCCUUCAAACCCAAACCCUGCAAGUUUCUAGCUGUGAAACCAUCUAUGUGCUCUUUGGCAAGUACUUAAAGUAUUUCAGGCUCCUUGUGCUCAUCUGGAAAAUGAGAAUAAUAAUAUCUUCCCUGCAUUGAGAUGACAAUUGUCUGCUACACAGCCUACCACACUGCAGACACUCAGCAAAUGGCAGCCAUGCUCAUUCUCAUUCUGCCAGCCUACCAAGCAGAUCAAUUUUCUGGACGUGCUCUGAAAUUAAUGGACCAUAUCCAGCCAUCUUUCAGGAACUAAAUGAUUACUACUUGUGUUGUUCUACUGAAAGGAAAAAAUGGUUGUGGGCAUUCAAGUACGUCUUCGAGAAAAAGAACACACAAGAGGCUGGCAGAUGCUGCUGCAUAACCAAAAAGCAUAUUCUAAUAUACAUGCCUUAAAGCAUAAAUGUUUCCUUUUGGGGGAAAAAAAGCACAAAAAUCCAGUUGUGUAGUUUAGGGAAAAUAAUACUCAGUAUAAAGGAAAUAUAACUCCAGGAGAUGACUGAAAGGGCAGAAUUAGAGAAGCAAAAAUAGCAAAAAAAUUAUGGCAAAGGUUUCUAAAAAUACAAUAGAAAGUUAUGCUAAGAAAACAAAGGCUACUUUUGCUAAACCAGGGACGAGAGCUCAUAAUGAAAGAUGCAAAGAAGAGUGAAUAUGGAGGCGCUAUUUGGUCUCAGGUUUUAGCACAAAGAAAGAAGGAAGCAGGAGCUUGGUAAGAUAAAUAUUAAUGCGUCUCUGGGAAUAUCAAGAAACAGAAUUAAUAAGUGGCAGGUAAAAGCAUGCUUAUACAAUUUAAAUAUUUAUAAAUCAGCAGAGUUGGGUGAGAUUCAUUUGAACAUAUUCAACGAACCGGCUAAGGCAGGACGUACCUCCAAUGCUAGUGUUUUGUCGCGGAGACUUAUGUACCAGAGAAAUUCAAAGCACACUGAUUUAGUGUUGGAGAUAAAGCAGCCAAAAGCAGAUCCGGGAAAAGGUGGGCUAGUUAGCAUAUCCAAACUACCAGUCAAAACCCUAAAUGAAAUCAUAAAUCAGUCCAUGAGCACCUUGAGGAAAAUAACAUAGUAAAUAAUAGCCAAAGAAGUUCAUAAAGAAUAGAGCCUGUCAAAGCAACUUGAUCCAUUUUUGGAUAUGCUAAGAUAUUUGGGGGGAAGUAAUGGGUGUUAUAGAUACAGUUUAGGGAGGCACCAGAGAUGCUACCAGACAAUUCCUUUUGGACCCUUCUUGUUGUUGCAAUGGCUGUUGCCCUCACCCUUUCCAACAGAGAAGGGCAAUUUCAUUUGCACACUUAACAUGCGGGAAUAAGUAUUCAUUCCCCAUGACACUCCAGAAUGGAAUUUAAUUAUUGGUCAAAUAUCCUCAGCACCCAGAAAUACAAACUAAAAGUUACCCAAAUGAGAGACAUUUAUAAUACUGGAGUAAAAUGGACUGACAUAUUUUGGAAAGACAAAUGUACCUAUACACCUGCAAUUAGAUUAUUUCAGGCAAAAAUGAAUGCUUUUGUUUGAACUGCUCAUAUAAUUAUGGAAAAUAUAAAAGGAUAGGAAAAGAAAAGUCCUUCUUCAAAAAUGCAGAUCUAAUUAUGUCAACAGGCCCUGCUGAAAACAUUCAAUGACUUCCCAUUUUUCUUAGAUGAGAAUCUUAGCCUUCCCAGGAAGCCCUGCCAAGUCUGGCUAUACCUCUCUCGGCAGCCUCACUUGCGCCCCACUCCUCUUUACUCUGGCAAGCAGCUACCCUGGCCUCCUUCCAGCUCUUCUAAAGCAUCCUUUUAUUCUUACCACAGGGCCUUUGCACAUGCUGUCCUCCCUUUCACUUACUUAUUCAUUCUUUGUCUUUGAAUGCAAACACACUUUUUUGGGGGAAACCUUCUUCAACCCCCCAGGCCAUAUGAUGUUCCAUUAUUUUUUGCUCUAAUAAAACCACAUUUCCUUCCCAGAAGCAUAAGUUUCAGAAUUAAUUUUAUAUUCAUUUUAAAAAAUUAACAUACUCCUCUCCCACUAGACACUAAGCUCCACAAAAGCAGGGUCCAGGUAUAGUUUCCUCAAGAUUUUAACCCCAGAACCUAGUACAGUGACUAGCACAAUAAAUAUUUGUGAGAAGGUAAAUAAUUCAAAGCAUAUUUACUGAUGGACUCCCUUCAUAGUCAACUAGAAUGACAUCUCUCUAUCCUGGCUAUUAUAAUAGUCUCUUCAGUUUUCUUUUCAAAUAAUAGAAUGGGAAAAAGUCUAUAAUAUAGGUCUUGUUGACAGAAGCAUAAAAACACGAGGCCGCUAAAACCUGAAUCACUGAAUUCUACAUUUGCACAUUAUAUUUACAUCUGAUGAGUUCCAAAAUUUCAUUUCAUGGUGAUAAUGAAGCCGUAGGAAAUUAGCAUUCUAUGACUCUUCACAUGAGAGUGUUAGUGAAGGUUUUCCAAGUAAUGUGUCAAAUAGAAAACGAAACAUUUUUCAGCUAACCAACUUUGCAGCACACCCUUGCUGCUUUAACAGUGUUCAUCUUUACAGCUUGGAGGGACCUAUACAGAAAUUUUCAAGAGAGCCAUGAAGUUAGAGAAUAUUCUAUUUUUAAGAAUCACCUCACAAAUAAAGUUCCUCCACCCAAGUUUUGCUUUUGGGAGAAGUAAAACCAAGUCACAAUAUCAUUGAAAAAAUGAAUGAAAGCAGAGGAGACAGUGGCAAGGGUGAAAACUGGAACAUUUUUUUUUGUUCACAGUGAUCACAAGAAAAUGACAGAGAUCCUUGUAGCAAAUCCUGUGGCCUUUGAUGUGAGCACAGCCAAGAAAACACCUUCAGCUGCACAAGUAGAGCAGAGAAAUUUGAAGAAGGCAUUUCAUAUUCUCCUCUGUUGUGUCUUUGAUGUACAAAAAGGAUUUAGCCCUCGAAGAUGAAGACCUUAUCUGUUUUCCUUCUCCCUGAGAAGAGCUUUGUUCCACAUUUCCCAUUUGGGGAUGAUCCUAGUGAAUAAGUGACAAAUAAUUAUAGGGUGUUUCAUUAUCAAAGUACUCACUGCCCAAGUUCCUACAGGCAACAGGUUGCAUAGAAAAGCAAAAGUCAUCAUAACAAAAAUAUUUACCAACGAACUGACCAUUUAUAAUAUUAGCCCCAACUUAAAUAUUCCUCACAGUUGCAAACACUGAUAUUACACUACAAAUUCCAUGCAAAUUAACUGUUAAGGCAAAUUACAAAUCUUGCAAAGGAUACAAAGUUUCAUAAAGUCAAAGUGAUUUGGGAGAAGUCCUCUAAAUAGGUAAAGACUUUGGCAAGUGCCUAGUUAAAAGCUGAGAAAGAAAAAUAAAACUAUAAGAAAGAUGACUUAAUAGCCCCUCAAAAAGUAAUGAUCUGAAUAUCAAAGGAAGAGACAUUUAGGAAAAUUGAUAUAGACUGAAUAUUUUCCCAAAUGAUCUUUAUUAUGAACUUGUUGCAAAACUUAAACAUGAAGUGAAAGAUUUCAUUAUCACUUAAUUUUAUGUUGAAAAUUAUUCUCCUAAAGCCUGAUUCAUUCUUCAUAUUAAAAAGUUCAUAAUUGAGAUUAUAACCUAAGAAUAAGUGUUUUUUUAAACUAAGUUUUGUUUAAUAUUUGAAGUUAAGAUCUCUAAUCAAGUCCUUCACCCCCAUUAUUUACUUGAAAAAUUGGUUCCUGUAUUUAAAAGACUUCACUUUCAGUGGCCUCUUUCAGGUAUCAAUUAUCUUUGAAUAAAGAUCUCCUCUAUUCCUGAAUCGAUCUAUUUGUCCCACCCCAGUUGUCACUGCCUUAAUCCAGACCACCAUCAUUUCUCACUUGGGUUACUACAACUGCCUCUACUGUCUCUGCCAGUCUCCAGGUCUUCCUCCCAAUAGCAGCCAGAUGGAGCCUUCUAAAAUGCAAUCUUGAUCAUGGUUGUAGUCCUUUUCCUGGGGCUGGGCUCACUGCCCUCAGAGUCCAAACUUCUUAGCAUGUCAGCAAAGCCCUUCAGGAUUUAACCCUUUUCUUUCAACCUCAACUCUCCAAAAUCCUCAGCCUGCACUCCAGUAUAGCUGUCCUCAUCAUUCCAACUUCUCAUCACCCCCAGUGCUCUACAGUCCCACAGCUCCAGCCUCUGCACUGCCUGCUCCCUUCACAACUUUCAUUUCUCAGCUGAAAGAUCACUUCCUCCAAGAAUUCUUCCAAGAUCACCUGGGUUAGGUGUGCCUCCCCUGUGUUCCACAGCAUUCUGUACUAACUGACCAUGAUGAAUUUCUCGUAAUUACAGUUAUCUGUCAGGGGGAGGGCAUGAAUCCAGCCUGACACUCCAAGGGUCUCUCUCCAGCACCUCGCUCGGUACCUGGCCAGGAGCAGGUACCUAGUAUAUGCUUUAAUAAAAGAAUGAAUGGAGGAAUGAAUGUAGCAACAUAUAGACAAAGCAAAAUGAAUAUUAUGUGAUGAAAACAGUAAAACCACACUGUAAAAGAAGUGAAACCAACCAUUAGCUGAGACAUUUUCAAGUCUGUGUGGGUAAAGAAUGUGAAAGUUUAGAUGUCAAAACCAUUCCCAGCUGUUUCUGGAGAAUGGGACUGGGGGGCUAAAAGAAGGGAAUUUCAUUUUUUACUUUAUACACUUAAUGAUCACUUGGUUAUUUUCCUAAGUGUAUAUUAUCCUUAUAAUAAAAAAUUUAAAAAACAAUAAAUGCCUAUAGCCAGAUGUUUACUGUUAUUUUUUAAACAGUUUCUGAUCCUAUUCUCCCACUCUUUAAAUUGAAUAUUUCUAUUGUUUUUUUCUAAAUCGUUAAAAGUAAA